rnacentral:lncRNA from 14 species
GGCAGCAUCCUGAGCUGGGUACAGGCUCAGCCGCAGCAGUUGCUACACUGAAAGGCAACAGAAAAGGUCUGAGUGUGAAUGAGUGUGAGAGCCUGAAAGAUGUGAUCCCCUACGGGCAAGGGAGACCUUUGCCAAAGUAAAAAGGAAGACAGUGAAAAGACUGAAACCCACCUGAGUGCAUCAGUCAGCUGGAGAAAUAUCGCCUUUCCAUCUAACAGGAUGAAUUCACUUUUGAUAUUUGUGUUUGGGAAUCAUCGUGUGGAUUUGGCCCUUUUGCACAGAACUGGCUUUUUAAUUUGAUGGAAACUUUCAUCUUCAAAUGAAAACCUCAGAGUAAGUUAUCACAAUCGGUCUCAUGCUGCCUCGACACACAGGGAUGCUGACACCUAAAGCUAUGCCGACCACUGGG